UUACCCUUGCGCCCUGAUGGUUCCCGGCGACGGGAUCAAAAGGGAACGCAGUGAGGCCGCCCGGCCCCGAGUCUGCGGCUGCCCCCGCAACUGUGAGCGGCAAGUCCAUGCCAAACGCGCCACUGGGAAACCGGGAAGGCCGGCAAGGGGCGUCGACCCGCGAGCCAGGAGACCUGCCAUCGACCGAGGUCCAAG
rnacentral:ncRNA from 2 species